rnacentral:rRNA from 1 species
UACGUAGGGAGCAAGCGUUGUCCGGAAUCAUUGGGCGUAAAGCGCGCGUAGGUGGUCCCGUAAGUCCGCUGUGAAAGGUCAAAGGCUCAACCUUUGAAAGCCGGUGGAUACUGUGGGACUAGAGUACGGGAAGAGGCGAGUGGAAUUCCUGGUGUAGCGGUGGAAUGCGCAGAUAUCAGGAGGAACACCAAUAGCGAAGGCAGCUCGCUGGGACGUUACUGACACUGAGGCGCGAAAGCGUGGGGAGCGAACAGG